rnacentral:rRNA from 1 species
AGGGUGCGAGCGUUGUCCGGAAUCACUGGGCGUAAAGGGCGCGUAGGUGGCGGUCCAAGUCUGUGGUGAAAGCUCGCCGCUUAACGGCGAGUCGGCCACGGAGACUGGGUGGCUCGAGCACUGUAGGGGCAGAUGGAAUUCCGGGUGUAGCGGUGGAAUGCGUAGAGAUCCGGAAGAACACCAGUGGCGAAGGCGGUCUGCUGGGCAGUUGCUGACACUGAGGCGCGACAGCGUGGGGAGCAAACAGG